AUGUUCCUCUCCCUUUCAAUAUUUUGAAGUAAAAACCCACACAUCACAUUUUAAGUUGUAAACACUUUAUUAUACAUCUCUAAAAGAACACUUAAAAAGUACAUUCUCACACCUGAAAAAAUGGACAAAUCCUUUUCAUUAAAUAUCCAGAGUCUAAAUUUCCCCAGUUAAUUUUUUGAAUAAAUCAGGUCAUUUUUCUUUUAUUUAUUUUUUAACUUCUAUUGUUUUGAGGCAGGGUCUCGCUCUGUUGCCCAGGCUGGAGUGCGGUGGUGCGAUCUUGGCUCACUGCAAGCUCCGCCUCCCGGGUUCAAGCAAUUCUCCUGCCUCAGUCUCUGGAGUAGCUGGAAUUACAGGCGCCCACUACCACGCCCAGCUAAUUUUUGUAAAAAAAAAAAAAAAAAAAAAAAAAAAAAAAAAAAAAAAAAAAAAAAAAAAAUUAGGACCAAGACGAAUUAAUCUUUGUAUCCAUAGUCUGGCACUGUAGUAUGUGCUCAGUAAGUAUUCCACGAAAGAAUACA
rnacentral:lncRNA from 1 species